GUUUUUCUUGUCCCUGUUUCAGAAUUAGUGAAUUGGCAAGAUGGCCAUAGAGAAGACAGGUGGAUUCUGCUGUCAUACCUGAGCAUUUACAUCUCCAGCAGCUGGAAUCUUCAUUGACUAAUGCAGCAAUUGUGCACUGCACAUAUACAUAGAAAUCUCCCUCUGUCAUGUGUACAUGCAUUUAUGUAAAUAUGGAUCUGUGCUUUGAGUUUUUUUCCCCUAGGUGUUUCUCUCAGCAUGAGAGAACUCCACAGCUGAUAAUGCAGUUGUUUACUGUGAAUGUUUUUCAUACAACUUUGGCUUCAGUAUCAUCUGCAGGCUGGAAAUACUGAAAAACCCAGCUACAUCUCAGGCUGAAGGUGGUAGAAUGUAUUCGAAAAAGCUUAAAGAAUUUCUUACUUUAAAAAUACUUUGCUCUUGAUAAGUAGUGAAAAAUGUCACUUUUCAAAGCAAAAAGUGUAUCAUGGAAUCUGUGUACAGCGGGGAUGAGAAACAAAAGAUGAGGAGAUCAAUGAGAACUGUUGAGUCAACUGGACUGAAAUCAGGAAACUGCUUUUCUAUCUUCUUAGAUAAGGAGGCAUGCUUGCAGUAACAUGCCUCUUGAUCCUUCAGUGUGCUGCCACCAUUGUGUCAAAAACUUCAGCGUGGUCCAUUCAAAGCUUUUAAUGUGACUUUGAAAAGAUGCUUAUUGUGUUCAGGGACGAGCUUAGAGUAGCAGAAGCCUACAUACAGAAAGGAAGACAUUGCGCCACUA